rnacentral:rRNA from 1 species
UACGUAGGGGACUAGCGUUGUCCGGAAUCAUUGGGCGUAAAGAGCGUGUAGGCGGUCCGGUAAGUCCGCUGUGAAAGUCGGGGGCUCAACCCUCGAAUGCCGGUGGAUACUGUCGGGCUAGAGUGCGGAAGAGGCGAGUGGAAUUCCUGGUGUAGCGGUGAAAUGCGUAGAGAUCGGGAGGAACACCCGUGGCGAAGGCGGCCAUCUGGACCAGCACUGACGCUGAGGCACGAAAGCGUGGGGAGCAAACAGG